CGCGUAGGUGGUUCGAUAAGUCGGGUGUGAAAGCCCCGGGCUCAACCUGGGAAUUGCAUUCGAAACUGUCGGGCUAGAGUAUGGUAGAGGGGGUAGAAUUCCCGGUGUAGCGGUGAAAUGCGUAGAUAUCGGGAGGAAUACCAGUGGCGAAGGCGGCCCCCUGGACCAAUACUGACGCUGAGGUGCGAAAGCGUGGGGAGCAAACA
rnacentral:rRNA from 1 species